rnacentral:rRNA from 1 species
AGCUCGAUGAGUAGGGCGGGACACGUGGUAUCCUGUCUGAAUAUGGGGGGACCAUCCUCCAAGGCUAAAUACUCCUGACUGACCGAUAGUGAACCAGUACCGUGAGGGAAAGGCGAAAAGAACCCCGGCGAGGGGAGUGAAAAAGAACCUGAAACCGUGUACGUACAAGCAGUGGGAGCACGCUUAGGCGUGUGACUGCGUACCUUUUGUAUAAUGGGUCAGCGACUUAUAUUCUGUAGCAAGGUUAACCGAAUAGGGGAGCCGAAGGGAAACCGAGUCUUAACUGGGCGUUAAGUUGCAGGGUAUAGACCCGAAACCCGGUGAUCUAGCCAUGGGCAGGUUGAAGGUUGGGUAACACUAACUGGAGGACCGAACCGACUAAUGUUGAAAAAUUAGCGGAUGACUUGUGGCUGGGGGUGAAAGGCCAAUCAAACCGGGAGAUAGCUGGUUCUCCCCGAAAGCUAUUUAGGUAGCGCCUCGUGAAUUCAUCUCCGGGGGUAGAGCACUGUUUCGGCAAGGGGGUCAUCCCGACUUACCAACCCGAUGCAAACUGCGAAUACCGGAGAAUGUUAUCACGGGAGACACACGGCGGGUGCUAACGUCCGUCGUGAAGAGGGAAACAACCCAGACCGCCAGCUAAGGUCCCAAAGUCAUGGUUAAGUGGGAAACGAUGUGGGAAGGCCCAGACAGCCAGGAUGUUGGCUUAGAAGCAGCCAUCAUUUAAAGAAAGCGUAAUAGCUCACUGGUCGAGUCGGCCUGCGCGGAAGAUGUAACGGGGCUAAACCAUGCACCGAAGCUGCGGCAGCGACGCUUAUGCGUUGUUGGGUAGGGGAGCGUUCUGUAAGCCUGUGAAGGUGUGCUGUGAGGCAUGCUGGAGGUAUCAGAAGUGCGAAUGCUGACAUAAGUAACGAUAAAGCGGGUGAAAAGCCCGCUCGCCGGAAGACCAAGGGUUCCUGUCCAACGUUAAUCGGGGCAGGGUGAGUCGACCCCUAAGGCGAGGCCGAAAGGCGUAGUCGAUGGGAAACAGGUUAAUAUUCCUGUACUUGGUGUUACUGCGAAGGGGGGACGGAGAAGGCUAUGUUGGCCGGGCGACGGUUGUCCCGGUUUAAGCGUGUAGGCUGGUUUUCCAGGCAAAUCCGGAAAAUCAAGGCUGAGGCGUGAUGACGAGGCACUACGGUGCUGAAGCAACA